UUCUCCUCUGUAACCCCCAUCUCUUUCCUCUCCCCAGGUGCCUGGGAGGAGGAAAGACCCAGCUAAGAACAGAGCAGCAAUCUGAAGCCACGUACCACAGGCUCCCCACUGCCACCCGCAGCCUCUGGACUUCACUUCUAAUAGGUACUGUGGAAGAGCCUCAAGGAGAGGUUUUGUCUUGCUGACACAUCUUAUUUCUACUCUGGUUGGCACCGAGAAGGCUAUUUUGUUUUUGUCUGGUUCCAGCUGGGCUAACAUGGGGCCCUGUCUGCUGAGCUGGUGUGGCUAGAAGAUUGUUCCCAGCUCUGUCAGCCACUGUGCAAAAGACCUUCUGCCGGCUUACGUGCCCCACCUCAGCCAGCUCACCUGCACACCCCCACAGUGCUUCUGAUCCCCAGAUGCUGUGGAACCAAAGAACAGCUUUGGUCAAGGAUUAUGCUAUGUGAACAAAUACCUCUCUACCUCAUCCCGGUUAAGUUACAACUAGCCCAACGCUCUCCAGGAUCAACAUAUAUGUGGCCCAGCUAUGUCGGUGAAGCUAACUAAUUGCCCUCAGCACUACUGUGCACCAUCAAUAGUACUUUGUGGUGGUGAACAAUUCUCAUCUGACUUCCCAAUAUUCAGCUGUAAAAGUGCCUUCCCACCACGACACCCACUUUUAGACAGUCGUAUUAGAAGACAGAAUCUGAACAGCUAAUUCAGUGGAUAUUAACUGAGCAACUACUAUGUGGCCAGCAAUAUUCUGAGUUCUGGGGGAUACAGAAACAACCAAAACACAGCCUCUGUCCUCAAGGGCCCUAUCAUCUAACCAUGGAAAUGGACCAGAAAAUAAAGGUAGAAUGACUGUAGAGCUGAGUCCUAUGGGGACCUGGAAGGGGGCCACAACUCAGCCUCAGCCGGGAGAGAUUAACUCCAGAGAAGAUGAAGUAAAUGAAACCUUGCCUGGCAUACAAAGGUGGAAAAGAACAACUAUUGUUACAGAAGGAUCUACAGAUUUGCAAGAAUGAAAACUCAGAGGACAUUAGGAAUAUGAGAAAGAGUCAAAAAGCAGCAUGGUAGAACAAAUUUUGCAUGUGGCUUGGGCAGGAGCCAGAGGACACCCAGAAGACUGGCAAGGGCAAGUCCAUAGUGCCUAUUGUGCCGGGCUGAAGAGUUUGGGCUGAUUCUGAAAUUAUGGGAGCCAUCCAGGGAUUUUAAGCAUGAGGGUCACGUGAUCACAAUCGAAUAUUAGAUCACAAUGGUACUAAGGUCAUGAAGAACUAAGGGAAGGUGGAAGAGCUGUGGACAGGCUAUAAAAGUUAUUCAUUGUUUUUUGGGUGCCUGGCAUUUAAUAUUUCCCUUCAAUUGCUCUUCCCCAUCUUCCUGUUAGCACCCUGAUAUCCCUUUUGGGAGAAACUCCCCACCAUUUUGUGUAGUUGUAGAAGGAAA